GGGCAGCCUGACUCGCAGCAGA
rnacentral:miRNA from 1 species